AUAUAUAUAUAUAUAUAUAUACUAAAAAUUGGAACGAUUCAGUGAAGAUUAGCAUGGCCUCUGCGCAAGAAUGACAAAAAAAAAACAUAACAUCCCAACUUCUAU